rnacentral:rRNA from 1 species
ACCUGGUUGAUCCUGCCGUAU